rnacentral:rRNA from 1 species
AAAUUGAAGAGUUUGAUCAUGGCUCAGAUUGAACGCUGGCGGCAGGCCUAACACAUGCAAGUCGAACGGUAACAGGAAGCAGCUUGCUGCUUUGCUGACGAGUGGCGGACGGGUGAGUAAUGUCUGGGAAACUGCCUGAUGGAGGGGGGUAACUACUGGAAACGGUGGCUAAUACCGCAUAACGUCGCAAGACCAAAGAGGGGGACCUUCGGGCCUCUUGCCAUCAGAUGUGCCCAGAU